CUCUCUCGCAGCGGAACCAUGGUCGACCUCUGACUCUCGCACUGAAAUCUAGAUUAGAGGAAAGAUGGUUUAUUCUGAGGAAGGGAAAUCACUAUUAGAUUGCACAAUAGGCCUAGAUCCACAUGUAAAUUCAAUGAUCUACUUAUUAGAUUUUAAAAAUGUUGGCUAAUGAGUUUAAAAGUGUCGAAAUAAAAGGCGUUCGGCCAACAAUUUUCAUCUGGUUUUAUAUUGAUUUCAGAGUCGAAGAAUCCAAUGCAAUCCGUUGUUGGAGGGGGUCGGGAAGGAGCUGUUUGUGUCUUAAAGACUUAGAUCUAAUUUGAGAAGGUUAGUUUUGUAAUCACACUCUCGACACUGCCUCUGAACGUUGGAAAUUUUGGAAAGGGGAUCGAGAAUGCAAAGAAAAA